GGGGGGGGGGGGGGGGGGGGCGGGGGGGGGGGGGGCGGGGGGGGGGGGGGGAGGGGGGGGGGGGGGCGGGGGGCGGGUGGCGGGGGGGUGAGGCGGAGGUCGGCGGCCGCUGGUUCGGGGGGGAGUGCGGGGGGGAACAGCGGCUACGACCGCAUAUGGCGUACCGCGGGGAGCAGAGGAUCUCCGCGCCCUUUGCGUGCGAUAGAGCCGGAGUCGCAUUAGCUAGUUGGCGGGGUAAAGGCCCACCAAGGCGACGAUACGUAGCUGGUCUGAGAGGAUGAUCAGCCACACUGGAACUGAGACACGGUCCAGACUCCUACGGGAGGCAGCAGUGGGGAAUAUUGGACAAUGGGCGCAAGUCUGAUCCAGCCAUACCGCGUGGGUGAAGAAGGCCUUCGGGUCGUAAAGCCCUUUUGUUGGGAAAGAAAAGCAGCAGGUGAAUACCCCGCUGUUCUGACGGUACCCAAAGAAUAAGCACCGGCUAACUUCGUG
rnacentral:rRNA from 1 species